UACGUAGGGUGCAAGCGUUGUCCGGAAUUAUUGGGCGUAAAGAGCUCGUAGGCGGUCUGUUGCGUCUGCUGUGAAAAUCCAGGGCUUAACCCUGGACCUGCAGUGGGUACGGGCAGACUAGAGUGCGGUAGGGGAGAUCGGAAUUCCUGGUGUAGCGGUGAAAUGCGCAGAUAUCAGGAGGAACACCGGUGGCGAAGGCGGAUCUCUGGGCCGUAACUGACGCUGAGGAGCGAAAGCAUGGGGAGCGAACAGG
rnacentral:rRNA from 1 species